rnacentral:hammerhead_ribozyme from 1 species
AUCCAGCUGACGAGUCUCAAAUAGGAUGAAACGCACGUCCUGGAU